AUUGAACGCUGGCGGCAUGCCUUACACAUGCAAGUCGAACGGCAGCACGGGUGCUUGCACCUGGUGGCGAGUGGCGAGCGGGUGAGUAAUACAUCGGAACAUGUCCUGUAGUGGUGGAUAGCCCGGCGAAAGCCGGAUUAAUACCGCAUACGAUCUACGGAUGAAAGCGGGGGACCUUCGGGCCUCGCGCUAUAGGGUUGGCCGAUGGCUGAUUAGCUAGUUGGUGGGGUAAAGGCCUACCAAGGCGACGAUCAGUAGCUGGUCUGAGAGGACGACCAGCCACACUGGGACUGAGACACGGCCCAGACUCCUACGGGAGGCAGCAGUGGGGAAUUUUGGACAAUGGGCGAAAGCCUGAUCCAGCAAUGCCGCGUGUGUGAAGAAGGCCUUCGGGUUGUAAAGCACUUUUGUCCGGAAAGAAAUCCUUGGCCCUAAUACGGUCGGGGGAUGACGGUACCGGAAGAAUAAGCACCGGCUAACUACGUG
rnacentral:rRNA from 1 species